rnacentral:rRNA from 1 species
UACGUAGGGGGCUAGCGUUGUCCGGAAUCAUUGGGCGUAAAGAGCUCGUAGGCGGUCUGUCGCGUCGGCUGUGAAAACCCGGGGCUCAACCCCGGGCCUGCAGUCGAUACGGGCAGACUAGAGUGCGGUAGGGGAGACUGGAAUUCCUGGUGUAGCGGUGAAAUGCGCAGAUAUCAGGAGGAACACCGGUGGCGAAGGCGGGUCUCUGGGCCGUAACUGACGCUGAGGAGCGAAAGCGUGGGGAGCGAACAGG